UUUUAAGGUUCGAGAUUAUAGGUUAAUGGGAAAUUCUUUUAGCCAAAAUUAAAUGGGGUAAUUCCUUAGACAAUAUGUAAAUGACAAAGAAGUAUACAUCAGAGACACAAUGGAAGGACGAUCCAUAAGAUAUCAAUGGGAAUUUUGCUAAGUCUAGGGAAGUUUUCACACAAUGGAAGGACGAUCCAUAAGAUCUCAAUGGGAAUUGUGCCGAGUGUAGGGAAGUUAUAAUUUGUUGAGUGAGUAGUCUCCGCAAUCCGGGAUGAUCAGUAGGACUUCGAAAGGAACUAUACUAGGGAUUGGGACGGUCAUAUUUUGCUGAGACGUCCCUGAUAAUCACGACGAUGCUACUCGUGAAAGAAGUCAAACAGAUAAUUGUAGAUAGGCUUCUCGACGCAUCUUUGCCUUCUUAAUUUUUUAGGGUUUGCUCUCUGGUGGCCAUGAAAGUUGCGAGCAGAGAAUCAGAAGUGCGCUCUCAGGCCGCUUGCCUCACCUUGACUAAGGAGGGUUUUAAGAGAUUUCGAGCCUCUUCCUCCAUCCGCCCGUUUGACUUUGAUCCGGUCAAACUCAAAUUUUGCAAAAGGUUCAGGAAACGUUUAGAAGAGGAGAAGGGAUAUCGAUUACCAUACUCCCCCCUAAUGAUCGAGGUGGAUUUCUUCGAGUAUCUAAUUAAUUUCUUUGCUGGGAACUGCAAAAGGAAGUCUACUUGGAGCCACCUCCUUGUUACUACUAUGGACAUUAUACUUUGUUGAUGCUUUUAUGCCCUUAUGUCAUGUUCCAAAGAAUAUUCAGCAAAUUGCAGCUGAUUGGAUAGUUAAGCUAGGUUGAGAUGCUAUAAUAAUAGUGAAGAAUUUGUCUGGCCGGCAUUGCAAUGUAGCCUUGCUGCCCUUAAGAUGGAACAAGGAGCCACUACAGUCUUAGGUUGUUCGAAUCAAGCAUCAAAAUCAUGGUCCAAGGAAGCAGCAACGCUUGUGGUUAUUUCUUUGGUUUUACCGAAGAAACCUGAUAUACUGAUGAUUCUCUGGGUAUACUGAUGAUUCUCUUACCAAAACUGAAGUUUGAAUGGAAUUGUUGUGGAGAAGAUGAACUCUUAUUAACUCUAUGGAUGGUUGGGCAGGUUUGUGAAGAAGAUUUGGUUGUGGGGGUGCACACGUUGGCACAACUUCUCUUGCCUAGGGCUUUGGGCAAGUCAAGUGACCAUUUUUCUAGGACCAAGGUUUUUUAUUUUCUUGAGAGAAUUUAUGAGCGCCCAAAUGCAAUGUCUGACUUAGUGUGGGAAGGACAAGAGAGGGUGGAAAUUGCUUCCUCCGCUGCUCAAAUAUUUGUUGAACACUACUCACUUGAGACCUUCACACACACAGGUUGAAGAGGUUACCGAAAAGCUGAAUGCGGAUUAUCCAUUAUUGGAGCUGGCUCUUGAAACGUGCUUCCCCCUUAAAAGUUCAUAUGAUGGAUGGGCAAGAGAAGCAAAACUUUUUGGGUUGACACUCAACAUUUUAAGUCAAAAAAACCAAACAUUCUCUGAUGAAUGGAUCAACAUUUUUAUCUGGUUCUUGGGAAACAGUGAAUCGUGUUACUCGUUGUGGGAAAAACUUUUUGAGGGGCACAUUCAUGAAAGUACAUUUAUUGUACAAAGGAUAUUGGAGAGAUUGGAGGAAGAGAAUUUUUGUGAGGCCGUUAGUCUUGAAAGACUCGAGGGGAUUAUGGAAUUCAGGAGGAUAAAGAACAAAGAAUUUUUGGAGAGGACAAAGUCCUCUGGCUUUGAAGCUUCGAUUUUGGCUGUAGAGGAGCCCUGCUAGAUAAUUAAUGGAAUUCAUCGGAGCUGCGGUAACUAAAUCUGGGUUUGCUUGUGGGUUUGACAUUUUAUAUAGUGACCAUGUUACUGUAUUUUAAAAUGUAUACUGACUGGAAGGUUUGGUGUUGGAGAUUGUAAAGACGAGUUGGAUCGGGACUCAGCAUGGUCCCAAUCGUAGUCCUUUUUGACUCAGCUGAGUCUCAAUAGAAACAGCGAGAGUCACUAUUUUCAGGUUGAUCCUGCAGGGCUCCAUGUCUCGAGUA